CAAACAUCCCGCAGUUAAAAGACAGCAAAUGAGAUGCUCCAACUUCGCUAAUUCAUGAAGACUAUUUUGAGAGGUUGAAAGAAGCAAGACUGCUUGUGACUUAUCCAAGGUCUAAAAUUCAACAAUUUUGUCGGUGAGAUUCAAGAGACCUUAUUGUACCUGUAGGCUACUCAUCAUCAAGUGACAUGCUUUAAGAGCUUCUGCUAUCAUUGGAAUCAUCAGUUUCGGUGGAAAG